CCUACGGGCGGCAGCAGUGAGGAAUAUUGGUCAAUGGUCGGAAGGCUGAACCAGCCAUGCCGCGUGAAGGUCAGUGCUAUAUGGGCGCUAAACUUCUUUUGUGCGGGAGCAAUAAUGGUCACGUGUGGCCAGACGAGAGUACCGUACGAAUAAGCAUCGGCUAACCCCGUGCCAGCGGCCGCGGUUAUACGGGGGAUGCAAGCGUUAUCCGGGUUUAUUGGGUUUAAAGGGUGCGUAGGGUGUGAGGUAAGUCAGCGGUGAAAUGCCCCGGCUCAACGGGGUGAAGUGCCAUUGAUACUGCCUGGCUGGAGUGCGGAUGCCGUGGGAGGAAUGUGUGGUGUAGCGGUGAAAUGCAUAGAUAUCGCACAGAACACCGAUUGCGAAGGCAUCUCACG
rnacentral:rRNA from 1 species